GCAGUAGGGAAUCUUCCACAAUGGACGAAAGUCUGAUGGAGCAAUGCCGCGUGAGUGAAGAAGGGUUUCGGCUCGUAAAACUCUGUUGUUAAAGAAGAACACCUUUGAGAGUAACUGUUCAAGGGUUGACGGUAUUUAACCAGAAAGCCACGGCUAACUACGUGCCAGCAGCCGCGGUAAUACGUAGGUGGCAAGCGUUGUCCGGAUUUAUUGGGCGUAAAGCGAGCGCAGGCGGUUUUUUAAGUCUGAUGUGAAAGCCUUCGGCUUAACCGGAGAAGUGCAUCGGAAACUGGGAGACUUGAGUGCAGAAGAGGACAGUGGAACUCCAUGUGUAGCGGUGGAAUGCGUAGAUAUAUGGAAGAACACCAGUGGCGAAGGCGGCUGUCUAGUCUGUAACUGACGCUGAGGCUCGAAAGCAUGGGUAGCGAACAGGAUUAGAUACCCUGGUAGUCCAUGCCGUAAACGAUGAGUGCUAAGUGUUGGAGGGUUUCCGCCCUUCAGUGCUGCAGCUAACGCAUAAGCACUCCGCCUGGAUACUCGCAAGG
rnacentral:rRNA from 1 species